AGAAGGGCACAUGGUGGAUGCCUCGAUACGCGAGCGGCGAUGAAGGACGUAGCAGCCUGCGAUAAGCCUCGGGGAGGUGGCAAGCAACCUUUGAUCCGGGGAUCUCCGAAUGGGGGAACCCCUCCGGCGCGCAUAACGUCGGAGAUCCUUGCCUGAAUUUAUAGGGCAAGGAAGCGCACCCGGUGAAGUGAAACAUCUCAGUAACCGGAGGAAAAGAAAAUAACAUAUUAUUCCCUUAGUAGCGGCGAGCGAAAAGGGAACAGCCUAAACUGUAGAGGUUCCCAUGCUUUAAUUCUCUUACUCCGCAAGGAGUAAGAGAUGAAGAGUGUGGACGGCUUACAAGGCCUUAUACUUAUACAGGGUUGUAAGACAAAUCUAUACCGGAGCUUGUAAAUCCGGGAGGAGCCUAUGAACAAGACUUCCCUAGUGGAAUCCCGUGGAAUACGGGAGCCAGAGUGGGUGAGAGCCCCGUACGCGAAAGGGGUUUUGUGCUCCUUAGAAUUGUUCUUAAGUACGUCGGGACCCGUGAAAUCCCGGCGGAACCUGGGCCGACUAUGGCCUAAGGCUAAAUACGCUCCGUAAUCGAUAGUGAACAAGUACCGUGAGGGAAUGGUGAAAAGCAGCCCGGGAGGGCGAUGAAAUAGUAUCUGAAACCAUGUGCUUACAAGGAGUCAACGCCCGCCGAAAUUUUCGUAAGGAAAUUUAGGUGGGUUAUGGCGUGCCUAUUGAAGAAUGAGCCAACGAGUUUGUCUGCGCUGCUUGUCGAAUCCCGAUCAAUCGGGAGAAGGCAUAGUGAAAGCGAGGCUUCAACAGCCGUUAUGGCACCGUAGACAAGACCCGAAGCCGGGUGAUCUAGUCAUGGACAGGGUGAACCACGUAGAAAUACGGGGGGAGGCCCGAACCCACCAGCCGUGCAAAACUGGGGGAUGAUCUGUGACUAGGGGUGAAAUUCCAAUCGAACUCGGGAAUAGCUGGUUCUCCUCGAAAUAGCUUAAGGGCUAGCCUCUCUAUAAACCGUCCGGGGGUAGAGCUACUGAAUGGUUCGGCAUGGCGCAAGCCUAGUCGAGCCAACCAAACUCCGAAUACCGGCCGGCAUGAUAGGGGGAGUCAGACUAUGGGGGCGAAGCUCCAUUGGUCACAAGGGGAAGAGCCCACGACUGCGAUAUAAGGUCCCUAAAUCCAAGCUAAGUGUAAAAGGGAGUGUAGUGACUUCGACAACUAGGAGGUUGGCUUAGAAGCAGCCAUCCUUUCAAGAUAGCGUAACAGCUCACUAGUCAAGUCGCUAUGCACCGAAAAUGUACCGGGGCUAAGCUUGGUACCGAAUGUGCAGACCUGUCAGUGCUUUGCACUGGCAGCGUGGUAGAGGAGCGUCCCGUAUGCCGUAAAGUCAGACCCGUGAGGGCUGGUGGAGCGUACGGGAGUGAGAAUGUUGGCAUAAGUAGCAGGAAGGAAGGUGAGAAUCCUUCCCACCGCAAGCCUAAGGGUUCCCCGACAACGAUGAUCGGUCGGGGGUGAGGCGGUCCUAAGGCGAGGCCGACAGGCGUAGCCGAUGGAAAAGCUGGUUAAUAUUCCAGCCCCUUGUUUAUAUUUGUAUGGUGCUGACGCAUCUUAGUGUGGGAUCCUGCUUUGGUUAUGUAGGUUGUUGUCUCGAUUUAUCGGGAUGACUGGAAACAAAGCCUUCGGGCAGCGUGAACUUCCGUAAUAAGGUGCCGGGAAAAGGUACCAUGCGUUAAGUAUAGGCAGGUCCGUACCGCAAACCGACACAGGUGGGCGAGCAUAAGCGUGCUCAAGGUGGACGAGAGAACCCUCGUUUAGGAACUCGGCAAUUCAGUGGCCGUAACUUUGGAAUAAGGCCUCCCCCGAUUUAUCGGGGGCGCAGUGAAUGACCUCAAGCGACUGUUUACCAAAAACACAAGUCCCUGCUUCAAGCCGCAAGGCGACGUAUAGGGGCUGAUGCCUGGCCAGUGUCAGAACGUUAAGGGGAGGGGUGAACACCGAUGCUUCGCAUCGGGAAUGACCAAUAACCAAUUUCCAAUUUCCAAACAAUAUCCAAUGAACAAAAUUCAAAUGACCAAAACUUGUUUUGAAUUUUGAAUUUGGAGUUUCGAAUUUGUUUGGGAUUUAGUGUUUGGGAUUUGGGAUUUCCGACGCGGGGCGUCGGCCGUAGCUUUGAACCGAAGCGCUGAUGAACGCCGGCGAUAACUAUGAGUGACGAUUGUAGUUAUCUCAAUAAAUCUAGCUAUAUGCGGGAACAUCUACUCAAGGUGCAAGUACUCGUCUCGAUGAGGGACAGUAAAAAGUUUGCAUCAGUUUUUUUGAGAACGGUAGACAAUCCGCAGGAAAGGCUCUUGAUAUGCAAGACAAUAUCCAAUGGUUGAAGCAAAUUUCACCUGCGAUAGGAUACUAUCUGGCGGGGUUUGCAGAUGGGGAAGGGAGUUUUAAUGUUUCACUUCGCCGUCGUGAUGAUCAUGCGAUGGGAUGGCAGGUGGUACUUACGUUCAACGUGUCACAGAAGGACAGCCGAAUCCUGGCGUACUUUAAAAGAUACCUCGGAUGCGGGAGACUCCAAGAACGACAGGACGGCGUGUACUACUAUGUGGUAUCAAAUCCACGUUCGAUUAUCGAGCGCAUCAUUCCAUUUUUUGAAAAGUAUCGUUUUCUCUCCUCAAGGAAGUUAUUUAAUUUUGCGAUUUUUAAACAGAUCGCAAUGUUGGUUGAAAAGAAUCAACACCUCACACAGGAAGGACUGAAUAAGAUUGUCCAGCUUCAUGAGAAAUUGAAUGAAGGACGGGGAAGGAAACGAAAGUAUAACGUGAGUGAUUAUCAACAAUCACUCCAAGAGAAUCCUCAGAGACUAUACGCUAGACCUUUGCCGCGCGCGAAGCGUAGCGAGGAUGAUAUAGUCCGAUCUCAUGGGUGACCAUGAGUUAACAUCACGAAUCGUCCUAAGGUUUUCUAA
rnacentral:rRNA from 1 species